AGAGAGCUGUAUCUCGAAUGCCCAUAGAAGCAAGUGAGUCAAGAAGAAGGUGGUGAUCAACAGUAUCGAAAGCAGCAGAGAGAUCCAGUAGUAUUAGAAUAGAGUAGUGACCUUUAGCUUUGGCAGAGAGCAAGUCAUUGGAGACUUUUGUUAGAGCUGUUUCAGUAGAGUGAAGGGGUUUGAAACCAGACUUUAGUGAGGCGAUUGUACACAAUCCGUUCAAGCAGCUUAGAGGUAAAAGGAAGCAGAGAGAUAGGGCGGUAGUUAGUCAAACAGACGGGGUCUGAGGAAGGAUUCUUUAGAAUUGGUGUGAUUAGCGCAUGCUUGAAGGCAGAUGGUACAGAUCCAGAUGAUAGAGAAA